rnacentral:rRNA from 1 species
CAUGCCAAUGGCAUUGCCCGGUAGCUAAAUGCGGAAGAGAUAAGUGCUGAAAGCAUCUAAGCACGAAACUUGCCCCGAGAUGAGUUCUCCCUGACUCCUUGAGAGUCCUGAAGGAACGUUGAAGACGACGACGUUGAUAGGCCGGGUGUGUAAGCGUAGCGAUACGUUGAGCUAACCGGUACUAAUGAACCGUGAGGCUUAACCUU